UACGAAGGGGGCUAGCGUUGCUCGGAAUUACUGGGCGUAAAGGGCGCGUAGGCGGACAGUCUAGUCAGAGGUGAAAGCCCAGGGCUCAACCUUGGAAUUGCCUUUGAUACUGGCUGUCUUGAGUUCGGGAGAGGUGAGUGGAAUGCCGAGUGUAGAGGUGAAAUUCGUAGAUAUUCGGCGGAACACCAGUGGCGAAGGCGACUCACUGGCCCGAUACUGACGCUGAGGCGCGAAAGCGUGGGGAGCAAACAGG
rnacentral:rRNA from 1 species